rnacentral:rRNA from 1 species
UAGUCUACCCAAGCAAAAUGAAACUUUUAGUUAGUCCCCCCGAAACUAAGCGAGCUACUUCAAAACAGCCCCAUGGGGCUAACCCUUCUCUGUUGCAAAAGAGUGGGAAGAUUUUCAAGUAGAAGUGAAAAGCCUACCGAGCUUAGAGAUAGCUGGUUAUUCAGGAAAAGAGUUUUAGCUCUACCUUAAGCUUCUUUAUGACAUCUAACAAACCCUAAAGCCUAAGAGCUAUUCAAAUAAGGCACAGCUUAUUUGAAACAGGAUACAACCUAUUAUACUGGGUAAAUUGCCAGUAAAUAAAAUAAAGUUG